UUUUUUGGAGCAAAAGUUCUUUUUUUAAAUAGUUGAAUGGAAAAAUCUACUAUCCUUAACCAAAUCUAGUGUAGUCUAAUUAUGUAGAUCAGAAUCCAUGGUGAUUAGAAAUUAUCUUUUUUUUAAAAAUAUGUUUCCAUUGAAAUGAGAAUACUCUGAAUAAUUUGGCUUGACUUUCAUAGUGGUGAGGAAGCUAAGGCUGUCAUUUUCCCAUUUUCCCUGAUUCAUCACAAUCAUGAAGAAUUGCAUCAUGAAAAUCAAACAUUGCACCAAUUCCACCAACGAGCAUGACUUAGGUCUGCCAGUCAGUUUUUUGCUCACCAUUAUAGCCCCAUGACUUAGUACAAGGUUGAGGGGUGGGAGGCAUUAUUCUAAUCUAUUCUGCUCAUCUCUGUCCUACUGUUCUUUUAUGUUGAAAGGUACCGCAAAAGAGUGGACACUCAUGUAUACCCAGCUGUCUACCAUUAAAGCCUGGGAUGAGGACAUUGUUGGAUGGGGUCUCAGGCUACACUAACUCUUUAGUGUCGUUUUGGACCGUGCUCAUAUUUUUCAUCCUUCCUCCAGCCCGUGUAUCACCUAAACUCCCCAGGUAAGAUUAACACCAACUGUUAGAGUCUUCCCUUGGCUACUUUGGCACCAUCUCCACUGUUAUCAUGUGUGGCCUAAAAAAGAAGGUUUCUAGGAACAUAUUCUAAGAUACCAAAUACUUCUAUGUGUUUAAUUUUCUCUAUUAUCUGUGUGAGUUCACAAAUGUUCAUGGUUGUCAGUCUAAGGGGGAAGGGAGGAGAAUGUUGGAAAACGGUGUAGGUUAUCAACACCUAAAAUACCUCUGGAGAAAAGCAAAGAAGACUUCAGAAAGAAGUUCACGUUACUGGCAAAAGCACGCUUCAUGCAUUCC
rnacentral:lncRNA from 12 species